rnacentral:tRNA from 1 species
CUGUCGCUACCUGUCGCGUCGGAGGUGGUGGACUUUUAAUCCGUUGGUCACUGGUUCGAAUCCAGUACGUCCUACCA